UGGGGAAGCCAUAACUGCAGUCGAGCGAGCUUGCCUAGAUGAUUUUAGUGCUUGCACUAAAUGAAACUAGAUACAAGCGACCGUAAGACGGGUGAGUAACACGUGGGUAACCUGCCCAAGAGCCUGGAAUAACACCUGGAAACAGAUGCUAAUACCGGAUAACAACACUAGACGCAUGUCUAGAGUUUGAAAGAUGGUUCUGCUAUCACUCUUGGAUGGACCUGCGGUGCAUUAGCUAGUUGGUAAGGUAACGGCUUACCAAGGCAAUGAUGCAUAGCCGAGUUGAGAGACUGAUCGGCCACAUUGGGACUGAGACACGGCCCAAACUCCUACGGGAGGCAGCAGUAGGGAAUCUUCCACAAUGGACGAAAGUCUGAUGGAGCAACGCCGCGUGAGUGAAGAAGGGUUUCGGCUCGUAAAGCUCUGUUGGUAGUGAAGAAAGAUAGAGGUAGUAACUGGCCUUUAUUUGACGGUAAUUACUUAGAAAGUCACGGCUAACUACGUGCCAGCAGCCGCGGUAAUACGUAGGUGGCAAGCGUUGUCCGGAUUUAUUGGGCGUAAAGCGAGUGCAGGCGGUUCAAUAAGUCUGAUGUGAAAGCCUUCGGCUCAACCGGAGAAUUGCAUCAGAAACUGUUGAACUUGAGUGCAGAAGAGGAGAGUGGAACUCCAUGUGUAGCGGUGGAAUGCGUAGAUAUAUGGAAGAACACCAGUGGCGAAGGCGGCUCUCUGGUCUGCAACUGACGCUGAGGC
rnacentral:rRNA from 1 species